UCCAAACAGAUCCCUAUGGUUAAGGUUUUGUGGAGGAGUCAGUCAGUGGAAGAGUGCACCUGGGAGUCAGAGCGGGACAUGCGUAGCAAGUACCCUUACUUGUUCAAUGUAUAAUCAUGUAUCCUCAAUUCGCGGAAAUUCGACAGUUGUCCGGAUCUGUGAAUUUCCGGCCAGACAGACCAGCUACCGGAAAAGUCUCCGAAUUGGAUCGAGGUUUUGGCUACCCCACCAUUGUCAGGCAUCCCGAGCACGUUCCCGAAGUCGGAAUCGGCAAAGGUGAGCCGGGACAGCCUUCUUCCUCUGCCCAGCCGCCUCAGUGACCACCGUCAAGUCUGCCACAGGAGGAUAUUUUUUGAGGUUAACCUGCUUUCUCCCUCGCAGGUCAAUUAUUACUGUUUGUAUAAACUUGUUAAAUCUUAGAAUUUCCGUAUGUGUUAGAAAUGUUUAUUUGAUUUGGGUCUGUAAACUAAAUUAUUAUUUUGGGACCUGUAAACUUAAUAUGCUAUGCAUGUUUGAUGGAUUGGAUGAGGGAGCUGAGCUCCCAUUUAUUUUUAUGUUGAUGAGUAUGUGGAGGGUGAGCUGAGCUCCCCAAAUGACUAUAUAUUGUGUU